rnacentral:rRNA from 1 species
GUGGGGAAUAUUGGACAAUGGGCGAAAGCCUGAUCCAGCCAUGCCGCGUGUGUGAAGAAGGUCUUCGGAUUGUAAAGCACUUUAAGUUGGGAGGAAGGGCAGUAAGUUAAUACCUUGCUGUUUUGACGUUACCGACAGAAUAAGCACCGGCUAACUUCGUGCCAGCAGCCGCGGUAAUACGAAGGGUGCAAGCGUUAAUCGGAAUUACUGGGCGGAAAGCGCGCGUAGGUGGUUUUGUAAGUUGGAGGUGAAAUCCCCGGGCUCAACCUGGGAACUGCCUCCAAAACUGCAUGACUAGAGUACAGUAGAGGGUAGUGGAAUUUCCUGUGUAGCGGUGAAAUGCGUAGAUAUAGGAAGGAACACCAGUGGCGAAGGCGACUACCUGGACUGAUACUGACGCUGAGGUGCGAAAGCGUGGGGAGCAAACAGGAUUAGAAACCCUGGUAGUCC